UCUGGCCGAACCAAGCUGGGUGUAGUCAUUUGAGCCAGAGCCCAAAUGGCAUGCGUGUUGCCAUUUGGGCCACGAGGCGACCGGCAACAAGGAAGAAAUUAUCGUUAUUUUCUUAAAGUUGUGCACCAUCAAUUUCCAAACACAUUCUGGAUUGUCUUUUGACAGGCUUUUUGAUUGUACUGCAUUGAGUUAUGUCUUCCACAAUACGAUUUAUAAUGCCAAAUUCUUCUCUUACUCACACAUAACUUGCAGCAGAAGUCAUCGGAUGCAGUACAGACUAUGUUACUCAAAAUGCCAGAGCACCAUUGUCGAUCGCAUCCGUAUCAUAGUCACUCUAGAAAUCAAUUUAAGAUAUGCAGUCUCAAUGUUCUAGUGUAAUAUUUAUGUGUUUCUGAGCAUGCUUACCAUGCUUUGUUUCUGAGCAUCAUGAAUGGGAGCUAGUGCAGCAUUGGCCUA